UCUAAUAUGGCAGAUAGUGCAUUGGAUUUAAGCCCCAAAUAUAAGCUUUUACUUUUUUUAGAA
rnacentral:tRNA from 1 species